GUAGUCUUAUUUUUCGCACUUUAAUUUUUCCUUACCGUGAAUAUAACUGUCUAGAUGUAUGCUAAUAGGAUUGCAUGUAAAGAUAAAUAAUCGAACUUAGAUAAAUUAAUUCAAGAUAAUAUAUCCGAAUCCAAUCAUUUCCACACUUGCACCUCUAGGGUAACCCUCUCUUUGUUGCCUUAUGAUAUUAUGGUCAUGUCCCGCGAAUGUGGGGAUACCCUUAGCAAAGACCCUUUCGAUUAAAU
rnacentral:lncRNA from 1 species